CUCCCAUUUUCCUUUAUUCUUUUUGUUCUUUCUAAAAUUUCUUCUCUCUCAUAUAAUUAUUAUUAAUUUUUUCACUCUCGCCAUCGUUUUCAUCAAUCGAUCCCAUCAUCACCGCGUUUCACCGCUGAUGGAGAAAAUCUCGAGAUUGGACCCGAGCUCAAGGAUUAGAGGGGAUAUUUAUAGAUUCGUCGUUUUAUAUCGAGAGCCCAAGUGACGAUUCAACAGGUCUGAAAUACCGGAUUUUGGAUCGUUACACUCCGCGUUUCUCGGAACCUUCGGACUCUUCUAGAGGCUUCGAGAAGAAUCUCUCCUUCGUUUGGAAGUUUUGCCGAAGACAACUCCAACAGUUUACUUGUAAUUUCUAUUGCUGUUUUAUUUAUAUUGAUGGACAUGGUGUAUAGUUAUAUAUAAAAACACUAAUAGGAAAAGUUUCGAGGGAA